rnacentral:rRNA from 1 species
GACGAACGCUGGCGGCGUGCUUAACACAUGCAAGUCGAACGGAAAGGCCCUGCUUUUGUGGGGUGCUCGAGUGGCGAACGGGUGAGUAACACGUGAGUAACCUGCCCUUGACUUUGGGAUAACUUCAGGAAACUGGGGCUAAUACCGGAUAGGAGCUCCUGCUGCAUGGUGGGGGUUGGAAAGUUUCGGCGGUUGGGGAUGGACUCGCGGCUUAUCAGCUUGUUGGUGGGGUAGUGGCUUACCAAGGCUUUGACGGGUAGCCGGCCUGAGAGGGUGACCGGCCACAUGGGGACUGAGAUACGGCCCAGACUCCUACGGGAGGCAGCAGUGGGGAUAUUGCACAAUGGGCGGAAGCCUGAUGCAGCAACGCCGCGUGCGGGAUGACGGCCUUCGGGUUGUAAACCGCUUUCGCCUGUGACGAAGCGUGAGUGACGGUAAUGGGUAAAGAAGCACCGGCUAACUACGUG